rnacentral:lncRNA from 1 species
GCUCUUCAUUCUAUUUUCAUAUUUCAAGUGUUGCUUCUGACCUAAUUCAUUAUUCUAAUCAAGAUUUAUUUGUGUCCUUAAUAAAGUCGCAAAUCGAAUGGGUAUAACCAUCUCUUUCUCUGAAUCAUGUGUAUCAAUCAAUUCUGAUUUGUGAUGCCAUGACUAACAGAGGUUUUAGAUCAUUGUUAGAGUUGACCACUCCUCCACCGUGGUCAAUUGAUCUGCACCGUUUUCUUCCACAUAAUAUUAGGGUUUAUAAUUUUUAAGUUCACAGUAACAUUCAGCUAAAAAUGAGCAAAAGCCGAGAAAGUGAAAGUUACUCUAAAGAAUGGUGUGGCAAGAGUAAAAGGGUUCACAAAGAAAAGGUCAAAAGUGGAGAAAGAGGAGUUGGCUGUUGUUGAAGAUCUCAAACUGAAAGAGAGGUUGACAAGUCGUUACAAAGGGUGGAAGAAGAAGCUCAGCGAAUAUAUAAAGACGAGCAUGGUGUGCUUCUUGAUGAUGAAGCAGCUUCAACUAGAGAUGCAAUGUAUGAGCAGGUUGAUCUCUAAUUCAGAAACUUAAUGCCAAUCAGAUGGGUUGCCAUAAGGAUGGAUUAAAGAAACCAGAACUAAGAUAUAUGCAACCCACAAAAGAAAUAAUCUGUUCUAUACAGACCCUGAGACUGGAUACAUCUUUCGGUCCAAAGCUGAUGCUCUGCGUUAUAUAGAGACCAGAGAUGUGAACUCAUGUGGUAUUAGACCAAAAGUUAAGGAUAAAGAUGGAAAGGAAGCUGUAAGUCCUUAAGAUUUGCAGUUUUUAGGCAUCGUUAUGGAAUUACCAAACUGUCAUAUUGACUUUAGUUGACCUGAAUGUUUUUUCUUGACAUUAUGUAUAUACAAACAAUGCACAAAAACCCACUACUGGAGAUGACGUGGCGACUGAAGUUCCUGAAGAGAAUCACACCCCUGAUCCAAAAACCGCUAUUGACAUAAACCACAGGGUGACAAAGAAUAGCAGUCCCGCGACUGAUUCGCCAUCUCGAUCUUCAAAAAGGCAAAAAGGGAAAGAUUACGAGACUGCCCCUACAAGCGGUGUUCCCGCUGAGAAGCAGGAAACAUGGGUAAAUUUGGAAAAACAACCUGAUGAUGGCAAUCUAACUUUUAACAUUCCAGAAGAUGAUAACUGGACAGACCAAUGCAUUGACUUUGCGGUGAAAACACUUACAGUCGAAAUCAUGUUUAAUGGUCAACCAGUGGAGACAACAAGUGUGAAGGACACUCCUCCAGCAAAGGUGAACUGAGGGUGGAGAACUUGAAGCAACUAAUGGUAUGUUCCCACAGGAUGUUGUUGCUCGGGUCCUUAACAAUCAACUAAUCUCAUUAGUGUGGAUCGAUGAAAGGGUUGGUGUGCUCCUGGUUUUAUACACUUUCUCUAAUUAACCUUGGUUGAAAAUAACCAUGUCAAAGUUAAAAUCAAUCUCAGGUCAAAGUUUAUCUAAUAAUUGCCAGUUUCAACCUGAACACAAGAGGCAAAUUGGAUGGUUUGGGUAAUGAGUCACAAUGGGUAAAAGUUGUUUUACUUGGUUGAAAGUCAAAAUGAUCAAAGUCAAAAUUAAAACUUAUCCAACAAUUAUUUGUUUCAACCUAAACACAAGUGGCUAAAUGGACAGGUUAUGUAAUGGGUCAAAACGGGUAAUCGUUUAAAUUAUUUUACUCCGCAACAUAAAAAACUGUUCGUGUAAGUUCAGUCUUCGCAAGAGUUGUAUUUUUAAGUUCGUUUUGUUUAUAUAUAUCUUAGUAAUCUCCGUAAGAGAUGAUGUCAGUGAGUGCAUGGUGAGAAAAGAACUACGAACCCCCCCUCCCCAUUAAUAUAUAACUGACAUUAUUGUUAUUAUCAUUGGACAAAUAUUUUGAUUUUACCCGUUUAACCGUAUGUUUGAAUAUGUUGUUGCAGCUACACAAUGUGUUCUUUGGACUUGCAUAUGUCGUGUACUGUCAUCAAGUAAUAAAGCUUUCUUAAAUUGGUGUUGAACAUACGCCGCAAAGCAGUUUGGUAAUUUGGUCAAAAGGGGUUUAGAAAGUGGUUAAGUGGGUGAUUUUUGGUACGGGUUGACACAAUUUGUAUUAUAAUCAUAGUAAUUGUCCAUGACAACCCGUUAGAUUUUUUGACCCGAGUAGUAUGUAGAAUCUUGAAUCUUGAUUCUGUUUGGCAAAUGAAAUGGGCCAGGUAGGGCUAGGUAACGAUUCACAUGUUUGGGUGGAAACACAUUCUGGCCAAAAUGGGGUUAGGUCGAAGUGGGCUGUAUUAAUGAAGUAUCAGUUUUGUUUGGGUCAAAAUGGGUUCCAAUAUUAUUAUUUAGGUGUUGUUGUAUGAGAGACUAUAUGUUUGUUGACCCGCUGUCAUCCUGUAGUCAAUUCAUGUUAGAUUAUAUAAAUUACUACAAAGUAAGUCGACAUCAUGUAUGAUAUGGUUGAUUUCAUAGGUUUCAUGAAGUGCACAUCAACAUGGCUGCACGUACCGAUAAAAGACUCUUUGUUCCUAUCAUAAGGGGGUGUUUCAGAUCUAGGGGAUCCAUCCCAGGCCGACAUUCUAGCAGUGGAUUUGGUGAGUAGAUGAAUAAGUUCACUUUGUAUCAAGUAGAGCCAUGCCAACAAUCUUGACCCAAAGCUGAUAAUCUAAGUUGAAAUGGCCUGAAAAAUAUUGAAUUUGGGUUGGAAUAGGCAAGCAAAAAGUAAGUUAAAUUCUUGACGGUUAAAUUCCGCAUUUAUAGUCUAAUGGUUCAAGUGCGGUAUAAUUGGCGACAUCGCGUCGACGUUGAGACAUGGCCUCCAUUCAUGGCGAUUUUUAUUGUUUCGUCUAGCAACGUACAUUUCCUUCUUUGAUCUUUGGUCUUUUCUUUGUUUUUUCAUUGCAACAGUAAUUUUAUGUGAUCCCACCAACCAGACACAAGCAGCCCCCAUAUGACCUUUUAGUUAUAGUUCAAUUGAUGGUAACCUGGUACUAAUUGUUUGUUGGCCUUGCUGGCUAGAGAGUGUGCUCGAGCCGAGUCAUGUGAAAAAAAAGAGCUAGGAAUGCUAUGUUGUUUUUCCACAGUAUACUACUUGAAAGAGUGCAAACAAUACAAGUCGGAUGGGUUGGCUAACGUGUCAACUGUCAACACGAGUUCAGGUACCCAUGAAGAGGAUUCUUUUCCCUGCAAUGGGCUGCUGUGUUGAGGCUAAUACUGCACAACCUCCACCACUUCCCCUUCUUAAAGAAAACUCAGUUUGGUGGUUUGAAAGAUGAAGACCACAUACCACAUAUUUACGAACCUUUAUGGUAUACAUGACACAUUUCUCAAAAGGGCCAUGAAGCGUGGUGAUUUGUAUAGAACUAAGGAUUUAGUGAUCAAGAGUUCCGAUUGGAUUUCUUGCUAUAUAAGUGAUAGAACUAAGGUACAUAUUAUUAUAAAAAGUCAUUUGCGGAGCACACAUGCAAUAAGCUAAAAGUCAACUAACCUAACUGUUCUAGCAGCAUCAUAAGGCGAAUUUGUUAUCUACUCUUUAUGUUUCAAGACUAAGAGGUUGUUUGGUAGCAUCUGAAUGACAUUAAGAG